rnacentral:rRNA from 1 species
UACGGAGGAUGCAAGCGUUAUCCGGAAUGAUUGGGCGUAAAGCGUCCGCAGGUGGCUGUGUAAGUCUGCUGUUAAAGAGUGAGGCUCAACCUCAUAAAGGCGGUGGAAACUACAUGGCUAGAGUGCGUUCGGGGCAGAGGGAAUUCCUGGUGUAGCGGUGAAAUGCGUAGAGAUCAGGAAGAACACCGGUGGCGAAAGCGCUCUGCUAGGCCGCAACUGACACUGAGGGACGAAAGCUAGGGGAGCGAAUGGG